rnacentral:rRNA from 1 species
CAGUCGCCGCGGUAAUACGAAGGGUGCAAGCGUUACUCGGAAUUACUGGGCGUAAAGCGUGCGUAGGUGGUGGUUUAAGUCCGUUGUGAAAGCCCUGGGCUCAACCUGGGAAUUGCAGUGGAUACUGGGUCACUAGAGUGUGGUAGAGGAUAGUGGAAUUUCCGGUGUAGCAGUGAAAUGCGUAGAGAUCGGAAGGAACAUCUGUGGCGAAGGCGACUAUCUGGGCCAACACUGACACUGAGGCACGAAAGCGUGGGGAGCAAAUAGGAUUAGAUACCCCCGUAGUCCCUGUCUCUUAUAC